GACGAACGCUGGCGGCGUGCUUAACACAUGCAAGUCGAACGGAAAGGCCCUGCUUUUGUGGGGUGCUCGAGUGGCGAACGGGUGAGUAACACGUGAGUAACCUGCCCUUGACUUUGGGAUAACUUCAGGAAACUGGGGCUAAUACCUGAUAGGAGCUCCUGCUGCAUGGUGGGGGUUGGAAAGUUUCGGCGGUUGGGGAUGGUCUCGCGGCUUAUCAGCUUGUUGGUGGGGUAGUGGCUUACCAAGGCUUUGACGGGUAGCCGGCCUGAGAGGGUGACCGGGCAAAAUAGGACUGAGAGACGGACCAGACUCCAACGGGAGGCAGCAGUGGGGAAUAUUGCACAAUGGGAGGAAGCCUGAUGCAGAAACGCCGCGUGCGGGAUGACGGCCUUCGGGUUGUAAACCGCUUUCGCCUGUGACGAAGCGUGAGUGACGGUAAUGGGUAAAGAAGCACCGGCUAACUACGUG
rnacentral:rRNA from 1 species